ACAAAAAAAAAAAGAGUUUAUGCGUAAACAAAGCUCUGCAGAAAAGAGCAGUUGCCACUAUCCACAAUUUUCUCUGUCCACCUGCUUUUAAACACUGCCCUCAGUCCUAGAAGGAGCUCAGUGCUAGAGACACAUUAGCACUUGAGGAAGUCACAACUUUAGGAUCUUAAAUAAAUCUGACUGAAGUCAAUAAGAGCUUCAUGUUAAACCUGCACUUUUCUUGGAUAAGAAUCACAGCACUUAGCAGCUAACAGGACUGACAUCUACUUCUUCACCACUUGCAUAACUGCCAACAAGUAUUCAGCAUUACAUAAUGAGAAAGGAGGUGAACAGAACAAAGUACUUCUGAAACAUGACUCAUGGUUCAGUUUCUAUCUUAUAUGCAGUCACAAAAAAGAGGCAGGAAGAACGAAAGGUCACAUUUAGUUGGGAUUUUUCCCCUCUUAUUCACAACGUUUCCCUACACUGCCUCAAACCAGUCCAUAUUCCUAGCUCAGAAAAGGAGCAUCUCUCUCCUUAGAUCCCUCUGUAGAAACAGCAAAAUCUUUUGUAGAGAUGGAGUGCUGGUAAAACUGCUUUAACCCAUAGCCUUUGCAAUCUUUACUCGAACAAUGAUAUUAAAAUUUGGGAGAGAGAUUUUCCUUUUUAUUCUGUUUCUUACCUUUGUAUUUCCUCCUUCUCUUGUAUUCUCCAUUUUCUGGCUUUAGAGAGUUGAUGAAGCCAGGCCUUUGGGAACAGAGAGUGACCUGGCACUUCCCUAAUGGUCUAUCAAAGCUCUCUUUCUGCUAACAUGUUUCAUAUUUAUAUUCUCGGCAUAAGGUCAUGACAGUAAGUUCCAAGCAGCAAAAUUCCUACAUGCUUCUAUGGUACAGUAUGAGGCUACGAACCAACAUCUACAAUAAAGCCAAUGCUUAGUCACUUGUUUCUGUUAUCAGUGACUUCGAUCUAGAGCCUGAGGGAGUCACUGCAGCCAGGUCUAACAAGGCUGGUUCAUAUUAAGCAAGGUUCUUGGUUACACAACUCACCAUUAGUUCUUCCACAGUUUCUCUCCCCUGACUGUGUUACUUCUCUUUUAUAGGCAUAUUCAAAAGAUCAUGCCCAAGAGCUGCUCUGGAAAACUGACCUCCACGUGCUCCAUAAUUGGGGUAUUUUUUUCCUCUUGAAAACCAUCUAAGUUUUGACAACUAAUGGUAUAGAAGACUUAAUUACAUUUCUCUAGUUUAUAAUGAGGAUUCGAUUACUCCAGUAACCGGUUUGGCUUUGCCUAGAUCUGACUACAAGUAGUAAGAGGUUAGUAGGCUGAGCUAGGUGUUCCCUGGAACACACUUCUCUUCUGCACUGUUCCACAGGAGAAGCAUUACAGCUGGCAUGUCAUUAAAUCAGAACAGACCUCAAUUACGGGUUUGUAGCUAUUAGCUUGGUCCAAAUUGAUAGUGUUAGCUAUGGUUUUAUGAAGGGUGAAGCAGCCUAAACAGAAGCAAUUUUUGAUGACAGCAAAAAGCAAACAAUUGUACUAAAAAAAAAAAAAGAAAUGUAUCCCUGGAAGCUUGAUGAGUCACAACUUUCCUGUUUAUCAGCAGAAGUCUAGUGUCUGAUUACAGACCCUUCCGGGCCUGCUUUGUACCUGCACAGAGAUCAUCCAGAAAGGUUACAAGACACUCUGUGCACAAAUUGGAAGUUACUGUCAAACAGAGGUCAUAGAAAUUGAAGUAUCCAAGAGACCAUUUGAUCCUAGGAUUGAUACUACACUGGACAAGAAAAGGCAAUAGUGCCAAAGCUGAUCUUAGACUUUAAAAUGCUCAGACUCCAGGGAAAAGGCUAACUUCUCAUCAAAAAAGGACCAAAUUCCGUUCAAGGAAUUCAGUACAUAACUCUGUACCACAGCAAAGCAGAAGGAUUUGCAUGCAGCUGGUGUUGUCACAGUAGGCUUCUACUGUACCUUUUAUGGGGACAAAUUCCGUCACCACCACAACAGUCCCCUUCCCCUAUGAAAGUUCAGGCCCAGUUCAGGCCCCAGCACUAAUGCGCUGUUACUGUCCUGCAGAAAGACAUAUCCAGCUGCUAGUCCUUGUCUGGGAAGAUGAGCAUAUCUUCCUGCAGACAAUUGCCCCUCAUGCUAUCCACCAGACAAUGUUUCUGCAAGGUUUCUCACAGCAAUGUCUGAUUAAUGCUGGGAUCGUGGACAAGGCCAGUUUGGAAAACGGCGCAGUUCUGCGAGCAACAGCUGCAGUGCCAGGCCAGAAGUUUACCUCACAGAAUGCAGCUGAGCCCUGGGGAUCAUCAAGACCAACUCCCACAUCAGUGGAAACAGACACUGAAAAUUUGAGAUAAAAAAGGCAAGAACACCGCGUCUUUAAUGAGAGCAUAGCCACUAACCGUCAUACGCGAUGGGAAGCCAUGAGGGUUCAUUAUGAUAUCUGGACAGAUC